AACUUAUCAAUUGGAAGAGAAAUGGUAGCAUGUCAAACGUAUGACGGAAGGGAUGAAUGCAGUUUCGAUUGUAAUACGCAGGCGCAAUUAAAGAAGGCAAGAUUAUAAAUACAGCACUUUUUAACCACAGCAUGAAGUUGUCACAGUGCAUUUGUUCCAUGAUGGCGCAACAUGUUAUUCAUUCAAGCACACCGGCAACUCUUUUGUUACUUGUUUUUACGAUAUCCAACUUAGUAACUAGCAAUGCAUUUACAGACGUGCAAGUAUUUGAUAACCUGAAAGUGAAAUCAGUGAAUGCUUUAAUUACAAAGCAAUCUCAUGCACGAGAGUACUUAUCUGGUGCUCCAGGUUUCUUUGUAGAGAUUCUUGGCACCGGCCUGGAGAGAAAUGUUUCGUUGCGCUGGUCAGCUACACUCGACAAUUGUGAUCCAAACAACAAGUUGAAUGCAAUUUGGAUCGAUCAUAAUGGCAAUCGUGCGAUAUAUAAGUUUAUCAAAAUUCCUAAUUUUAAGGUUACCACGAUCUAUUUCUGUCUGAGAACCGUCAGUAGGUUCGGUGAAACAUGGACCAAUCUUGGAAGCAAUUUAACUAUUCAGCGCCCAAUUCAUUCAGAAAAAUAUUUUCGUACGCGUCGUGCCAAUUCAUUAGCUAGCGUUGAUGGUGAUUACAAAAAUCCAUCAACUGAGCAAAUCCGUACAGAUGUAUUUAUUGAGGGAUUAAGAAUAGAAACAUCAGCAAAGGAUCCUAGCUACAGCGAAGAUGGUAUUCCAGAGAUAUUAGCUGGAAGCAGAGCAGUUAUACGAUUGUUUGGUUUUGGCUUUACAGAAGAUACUUUGGUUACUUUCACAGAUGUACCAGCAAAAAGGGGUACUAUUUGUGACAAAAUUAAAAGCAAGGAAUUUCCAGUACAACGUAUAAACAAUCAUACUGCAAUUAUCGAUGUUGUAUUACCACUUGGUUCACCAUUUUAUGUGUGUGCAAAACAACCAGUGUAUGGAAAAGAAGGUCCUGACCUUUUGCUGUUUAAACAUCAAGGUACUGAAACAUGGAAUACUAUAUAUACAUACGAGAAAUUUUUACCACUUUGGCUUAGUAUUGUAAUUAUUCUCAUGUGUCUAAGCUUUUCUGCUUUGUUCUCUGGUUUAAAUUUAGGGUUAAUGGCAAUGGAUAGAACUGAAUUGAAAAUACUUUGUAAUACUGGAACAGAGAAGGAAAAACAAUAUGCAAGAACAAUACAACCAGUGAGAAAUCAUGGGAAUUAUUUGUUAUGUUCGAUUUUGUUCUCAAAUGUUCUGGUAAAUUCAAUUUUUACCAUUUUAUUAGAUGAUCUAACUUCUGGAUUAGUUGCCGUUAUUUGUUCUACCUUAGCUAUUGUAAUAUUUGGUGAAAUUUCACCGCAAGCUAUUUGUAGCAGACAUGGAUUGUGUAUUGGGGCAAAGACUAUUUACGUUACAAAAUUAACCAUGAUAAUAACAUUUCCAUUGAGCUAUCCUAUUAGCAAGCUCUUAGAUGUUCUUCUUGGUGAAGAAAUUGGCAAUGUAUAUAAUCGUGAACGAUUGAAAGAACUUGUAAAGGUAACAACAGGGUAUAAUGAUUUAGAAAAGGAUGAAGUGAAUAUUAUUGCUGGAGCAUUAGAAUUGCGAAAAAAGACCGUGAAAGAUGUAAUGACAAAAAUCGAAGAUGUAUACAUGUUGAAUUAUGACGCUAUUUUAGAUUUUGAAACAGUAUCGGAAAUCAUGAAAUCAGGCUUUUCGCGUAUACCAGUUUACGAGGGUACCAGAACAAACAUAGUUACAAUGCUUUAUAUUAAAGAUCUUGCUUUCGUUGAUCCAGAUGAUAAUAUGCCACUUAAAACUUUGUGCCAAUUUUAUCAAAAUCCAUGUAACUUCAUUUUCGAAGAUGUUACGUUAGAUAUUAUGUUUAAACAAUUCAAAGAAGGCCAUAAAGGUCAUAUGGCAUUUGUGCAAAGAGUAAAUAAUGAAGGCGAAGGCGAUCCAUUUUAUGAGGUAAUAGGUUUAGUCACAUUGGAAGAUGUUAUAGAAGAAUUAAUUCAAGCAGAGAUUAUGGAUGAAACUGAUGUAUUUACGGAUAAUAGAACUAAACGUAGAAGGCAAGCAAGGCAUAAAAUACAAGAUUUUACUGUGUUUGCGGAGAAGAAAGAAAAUCAACGUAUUCAUAUAUCGCCGCAGUUGACAUUGGCCAUGUUUCAGUACUUAUCUACAACUGUUGAUGCAUUUAAACCCGAUACAAUAUCAGAAACUAUUUUGCGUCGUUUACUUAAACAAGAUAUUAUUUAUCAUAUCAAAGUGAAGUCACGCGAAAAAGCAAGAAAUGAUCCGACGGCAGUAAUUUAUCAACAAGGAAAAGCAGUUGAUUAUUUUGUCCUAAUCUUAGAAGGUCGAGUUGAAGUUACGGUCGGCAAAGAAAACAUGAUGUUCGAAAGCGGACCAUUUACAUAUUUUGGUUCUCAGGCACUCACUGUUAACGUUGGAAUAGCUGAGUCACCUACCGCCACAAAUCCCCAAACAGUCGGCAGCAUACAAUCGAUUAAUCUAGAUUCCAUGUUACGAUAUACGUUUGUUCCUGAUUAUACAGUGCGAGCGGUAACCGAAGUAUUUUAUGUUAAAAUUAAAAGAUCUUUGUACUUAGCUGCGAAACGGGCUACUCUUUUGGAACGAAGCCAAAAAGACCCGAUUCCCGGAAGCCAAGAGCAAUUUGACGACGAGAUAGAAAAGCUACUGCAUUCUUUGGACGAGGAUGAUCGUAGUGUACCAGAAUCUCCAGUAUUACCAAUUGAUAAAGAUAAGGAAAGUAAGAAAGAAAAAGAAAAAGAUUCUGUACAAUCUCCAAUUCAUAGUGCUACAGCUCCAACUUCACCUGCUCCAGUUAGUGCUAGUCCAGUUACACAUUCAAAGUUUAUUUCAUCGUACAGCGAUCAUAAUGGCAAAUUAAAAAAUUCGCCAGUAAAGGGAACGGUCACGAGUCCGAAUCAAGGACAAACCAAUUUAGAUUUAAAUUCAGACAUUCUUGCUCGUCAUGAAGCUAAUAAAAUCAUAUCAGCAAAAAAAUUAAUUGAAGAGGAAGAAAGAACGAAUCUCCUGCCUAAGCAAGAAGACUCUUAACGCUCGAAGAUUAGUCGACGAUGUUUAAACACGUCGACAUUGUUGACACUGCAGGUAUUAAACAACGAAGAGCAAGAAAAACCUCUAUGACAUAGAAUGCUAUGAUGGCAUUAGGAAAACAUAAGUUAUCGAUACAACCUGACGAUCAAUGCUGGUACAUAUCUUAAGUUUGAAAUAGUUCUAGCGAUAAAAAUCUUCCUGAAUUUUCAAAUAUCCCUUACAAAGAGGAGAUAAUAAUUAUUGUAAUAAGCUGUUAAAUCUGUAAUGUAACGAAAUAAUAUGCAAGAAAUCUAUUCUCAGAUUUUUUUAUGAGAAAAACAAUCAUUUACUAUAUUUAAUAGAAAAAGAAAAAUCACAUAGAACAAGUUUAUCGUAUAAGAUUAGUCAAAUCUGUAGCUCCUUCAAAUCACCACGGCUUAACGUUUGUUGUUUUUAAAAUUUAAAAACGAAACUAUUACUGCCAUAUUUUUUUUGUACUUGCUACGUGUUGUUUAAGUGCUUGUUUUGGUUAAUUUCUUCGAGGAAUAACGUUAAAAUUUGUACGUUACUUAUUUAAAAAUUUAACAACAAAGAAAUUUUAAUAUUUUAAAUUCUAUUUACGCGUAUUUGUCUUCUGCGGACAAAUAUCGACUUUAGAGUAUCGUAAAUUGUACAGAGUCAUUCAAAUUUUAUUUUUUAUAUAAAUAUAUAUUUAUUGUUUGAACGAUUUUAUGUAAACGUACAUGUUUGCGUGUUUUGGACAGUUUUGUGAAGUAUUUUCGUAAAUAUGAAAUAUAUUAAUAUAGCUUUAAAAAUAUAUUCAUAUUAACAUAUUACGUUACAGUUAAUGUUAGAAUAUUUAAAUGGCGUUUAUCCUUAAAGUGUAAUAAAUAGACAUACGUAAUAGAUGUAUAUCAUAUAUUUAUAGGAUUUAUUUUAUUACUCUUAUAUCGUUUAUCUUUUUCGUUGUUUAUCUUUUAAAUGUCAAUUUUUAACUAACGUUAUAUGUAACAUUUUUACGCUUUACUUAUUACAUUGUUUUAAGGACAGUGGAAAGUACUUGUUGCAAACUUAUGUAUAUUUAUAGUUUUUAUGUAAACCACGGAUAUUAUUAACAACGUGUUUAUACUCAAUAAUUUUAUGUUCUUCGUACGAUGAAAAUUGUAUCUUAUAUCGAGAAAUGAAGCUGUAACAAAAUCUGUAAAAAGAAACUCCAUUUUCAUUGUCGCUAUGUCUUUUAGAUUACUAAAGUCAUAUAAUAGUGUGCCUAUAAUUAAAUAUAAGUAUGUACUGCUUAUAUCAGUAUGUCGUUUAUAGCAAAUUCGAUCGAAAUUGUGAUUUAAAAUCAAAGAUUUUCUUGAAUAAAGCGCAAAGUAAUAGAAAAUCAUUCUCUAUUGAAAUAUGGCAGCGAGAUUAUUACCAUUAGUAAUGCUACAUAUUAAUUUUACAUUGUACUACAAUAGAAUCGAGGUAUAUUCGAGAAAAACGGAGCCAAAUAUUUAUCAAUAUUAUAUUACUAUAUUCACAAAAUAAAGAUACAAUUUCGUUUUCAA
rnacentral:misc_RNA from 1 species